rnacentral:rRNA from 1 species
UACGUAGGGGGCAAGCGUUAUCCGGAUUUACUGGGUGUAAAGGGAGCGUAGACGGCAGGGCAAGUCUGGAGUGAAAGGCAGGGGCCCAACCCCUGGACUGCUCUGGAAACUGUCCGGCUGGAGUGCAGGAGAGGUAAGUGGAAUUCCUAGUGUAGCGGUGAAAUGCGUAGAUAUUAGGAGGAAAACCAGUGGCGAAGGCGGCUUACUGGACUGUAACUGACGUUGAGGCUCGAAAGCGUGGGGAGCAAACAGG